UCCAAACCUAAACCUAUACCCACCGUAUACCGUCGCGACGCCACCACCACUUUCCUCCUCGCCAUUGGCCAUCGGGCCAUCUCUCUCAGCCUCAUCUCCCUCUUCCCCUUCCUAGAUCGACGCCCCUUCCUCUCCCGAUCAGGAUCAACACACGACGCCCUUAUUUCUCUGUCCAACCACACUGCAUCUCCUCCAACUCACGAUCAAGAAAUUUGCAACCACAAAAUUUUCUCCCGGUGUUCCUAUAUUAUCUCGAUCUCACGCCGUCCCCCUUUCACUUUUUUUGUUCACCUAAACUUCCCCUCGCAGCUUCUCCUUUCCUCUCCACAACACAGAUCUUCUUCUAUCACCGAUAAGGGGGUCGUCGACGAGGAGGCUAGCGACAAGGAGGUCGCGAGCAUUGACUGCACGAGAGGAUUCUAGAGUUGCUCUCGCACGGUCUGGAGAAGGCGAUGAAGUACGUGCUGGUGACAGGGGAAGUGGUGAGUGGGCUAGGGAAAGGGGUGACGACGAGCUGCAUCAGAGUCCUCCUCAAGUCGUGCGGAGUCCGAAUCACCCUUAUUAAAAUCGUGGUAAGGGAAGAGAGGGGCCCUUAUAGAGAUCCUCAGCAUCCAUAUUUUUUAUGAAGAAGAAGAUGUGUGGCUGGCUCCCGAAUUCGUCAAUCAAUUUUAUGAUGUUCCAAAUUACUAGAAGAAUAUGUUGAAGAAGUAGAUCAGAAAAGAGGAAUGUGGUUGAACUCUUUCUGUAAAGCACCUCUAAGACUUCCUAUGCCUGCUGAGCUUGAAUAUUGGUGGGAGAAAGGUAUUAGUUUCUUUCUUUAUUUAUGUCAUUGCCACAGCUUUGACAUUGAUGUUCCAUAUCCUUUGUGCAUCACCCAUUAGUCACAUUUGUUGGUUGCAAUGUAUACUCUUGAUAAGUCUUCAGAAGCUCCAUACUGUUAGUUUUUUUUUUCCUUUCUUUAUUUUCUUGUAUACUUUAUAUGAAUUGUUUUAAUAGUUUGUGUAACCUUUGCUUGCUAUUUCAUGCAUACUCUAAAAUAAGCUGUUAGGUUGGAAGGCUUUUGGGCACUCGUCAUGCUGCCUUUGGAAAUCCUGUCCUUGUUUCUUCAUUCUUUUGUUUCUAUCGGGAGAGUAAGCGUUUAUUUAAAUCUUCAGUUUUCUUUUGUCAAUUUAAACAUAAGCUCCUUUAUUUGUUUCGAGGUCAUGUUUGUUGUACUAAAAUGGAAACUGUAUUAUGUUGUCCCCUCUGUAAUAGACAAAGAUAGGAUUAUAGGAAAACUACAUAUACUCAAUUUGUCACAUAUUCUGCUUAGUUUUGGAUGGAAAGAGUUCUGGGCUUGCAUUUACAUACAAGAGUGACUAAUUAAUAACUGAUUCUUAAACUUAGAUUAAUGUAGCUAAAGUGAGCUACAAAGAGAGCUCAGAUAUGUUUGAUGCCACUAGGGACAAAGGUAUGUUUAAGAUAAGUUGUUUAAGAUAUGUUUGAUGCCCAUGUUUAAGAUAAGUUGUGAUGAGAUCAUUAAUUCAUGUGGGAGGAAUGCAUGUCGUGCCGUCUGCUUUCAGGUACUCUUUUUUUAGUUUAGAAUUUCUUCUUUUUUCAUGAUUUUGUUUGUUUUCAUAGGAUUUCAUUGAUGGAGAUACUGCAAGGAUGAUGCCGAUGUGUAACCACAUUUUCCAUGUGGUGUGUAUUGAUGUGUGGCUUAUGAAGCAUGAUUCCUGCCCUACUUGUAGACAAGAGGUUCUGCAAUUUGAGAUUUCUUGGGAAAACAUUGCACAAGAAGCUGAUUUAAGCAACAAUGGUAAUUCCUUAAGUAGUGCAUCUGCGAUCCAAAAUCAAAAUGACCAAAUUAUCAAGUACAUUCUCAACAUGCUGGAAUUGUGAGUCAAACUAACACAAGAUUAUAUUUGAUGAACAUCUUGGCACUAUUGACACUUUUUUAUAUCUACUGAAAAAUAUUUUUUGUAUCUUGAUUCUAUAAAAUGUUGUAUCUCUAACUCAUAUGUAGUAUCUUGUAGAUGAGAAUUAUGAUUUAUCUUGUACACGGUACUCAAUUUUUGCAAAUUAAACCACGAGGUUAGAAUAUAUAUAUAGUCUUUUUUUGAACAUAAGUUAGAAUUUUAAAGUCUAAACUACUUCAUGCUAAUAGCCUUUUUUUCACAAUCAUUUAAUUCCUUCCUUCCUGAAUCUUGAGAUAUGUUGAUUUAGAUAAAUCUCUUUAGAUUGCUUAAUUCUCUAUUGGGUGUUGUUCAUUGUUCUUAUUCUUUGGUAUUGAGGGUUAGUUGUGCACAUUUCAUUUAGCUUUGGAGUAUGCAAAUUUCAACAGUUUCCUUGAAUCAAUGGUUUAUAGGGAAAAUAAGCUUGUCUAGAAUAUUAUGUGUCUCUAUCCUCUUAAUCUAUUGAUUGGGUUUUAAGGAUUGUUUUAAGGGUUAGUUGUGCACAUUAUUGAUUGGGUUUUAAGGAUUUGAUACCGAGUAUCAAAUGUCUGUUUGAAAAGUAUUUUCCACCUUCAUUUUUUUGAUAUAAUGGUUCACUUAACAGUUCAUCUCGUGCGUGAGGUCAACAUGUUAUAUGCAUGAAGGGCCUUGAAAAUGUAUAAUGCGGAGGCGGGAAGGAAAGG